rnacentral:rRNA from 1 species
AUGCAUGAUUGAUGAAGAGAUAUGGAAAAAUCUUUUUUCACGUAUUUUUAUCUUCUUUUAGUGGUACGCCAGAUGAGGUUCUAGGGAAAAUAAAUCAUGACCUUUUUUCUCCUAAAUGUCUUGGCCAAUUCACGUGCCAGCAGUCGCGGUAAGACGUGUAAGACUUGUGUUAAUCAUCUUUUCUUGGUUUAAAGGGUACCUAGACGGUGGAUUGACUUUUCUGCCUAGGCGGAAAAGGGUUAUAUCCACUAGAGUUUUAUGGGUAAGGAUAUAUUGAAUUGAUAGAGGAGAGAUAAAAUGUAUUGAUACUAUCAGGAACAGACAAGGGCGAAGGCAAUCCUUUAUGUAUAAACUGACGUUGAGGGACGAAGGCGCGGGGAGCGAUUAGGAUUAGAUACCCUGUUAGUCCGCGCAGAUAAUCAUGAGUGCCAUAGAUCUGAAUUUAUCACGGUUUAUAAAUGAAAGUGCAAGCACUCCACCUCAAGAGUAAUGUGGCAACGCUGGAACUGAAAUCAUUAGACCGUCUCUGAGAUAAGUAGUGAAGCAUGUUGUUUAAUUUGAUAAUCCGCAAAAAAUCUUACCGCUAGGGUUUGUAUGUUUAGUGUUAGCGUUAGCGUUAGCGUUGGCACUUUUUACAGGUGCUGCAUGGCUGUCUUCAGUUGAUGUUGUGAGAUACAGGUUAACUCCGUAAAAUGAACGAAAACCCCCGCUUUAUUUAAUUAGAUAAGGCGAAACCCCAAUAUAAUGGACAAGGUAAUAGGGAGCAAGACAAGUAUUAUGGCCCUCAAUAUUCUU